rnacentral:rRNA from 1 species
GAUCCUGACUCAGGAUGAACGCUAGCUACAGGCUUAACACAUGCAAGUCGAGGGGCAGCAUGAACUUAGCUUGCUAAGUUUGAUGGCGACCGGCGCACGGGUGAGUAACGCGUAUCCAACCUACCCUUGUCCAUCGGAUAACCCGUCGAAAGGCUGCCUAACACGAUAUGCGGUUCACCGCAGGCAUCUAACGUGAACGAAAUGUGAAGGAGAAGGAUGGGGAUGCGUCUGAUUAG